rnacentral:rRNA from 1 species
GGACUACUAGGGUUUCUAAUCCUGUUUGCUCCCCACGCUUUCGCACCUCAGCGUCAGUGUUUGGCCAGAAAGCCGCCUUCGCCACUGAUGUUCCUCCAGAUAUCUACGCAUUUCACCGCUACACCUGGAAUUCCGCUUUCCUCUCCAACACUCCAGCAAGGCAGUCUUGAAUGCAAUUCCCAAGUUAAGCCCGGGGAUUUCACAUCCAACUUACCAAGCCGCCUACGUGCGCUUUACGCCCAGUAAUUCCGAUUAACGCUUGCACCCUCUGUAUUACCGCGGCGGCUGGCAC